UCCCCUCUAUGACCCUCCCCACAUUCUCCACCUUCUCCCCACUCUCUCUCCCUGAUGUCUCCCAACUCUUGCUCUCCCACCGUCCCACCACCUGUGCCCUUGAUCCCCUCCCCUCUACCCUCCUCCAGCUGAUCUCACCAGAGAUUAUCCCCUUCAUUGCCCACCUGAUUAACUCCUCCCUGACUUCUGGCACCUUCCCGUCAUCUUUCAAAAGAGCCCACAUCACCCCCAUUCUGAAGAAACCAACACUGGACCCCUGCCUCACCCAGAACUACAGACCGACACUCAGGUCUCCGAUCGCAUAUCCGCCUGCCUGAGUGACAUCCAGAGCUGGAUGACCAAACACCAGCUCAUGCUCAACACAAGCAAAACGGAACUUCUCCAUAUUCCUUCUCUUACCUCUCCCACUUCUCAUCUGCCCAUUUCUUUAGGAGUCACUCCCCUACACCCUUCGCAGAGUGCCCGAAAUCUUGGAGUUGUGCUGGACAACAGGCUGGCACUCUCUGAGAAUAUCGCGGCAACCACCCGGUCGUGCAGGUUCAUCCUGUACAAUAUCCGCAGAAUAAGACCACUCCUCACCAAUUAUUCCACACAGCUCCUGGUCCAGGCCAUGAUACUGUCACGUCUGGACUACUGCAACUCCCUCCUGGCUGGCCUCCCAGCAUCAGCCACCAGACCCCUCCAGCUCAUCCAGAAUGCAGCAGCACGUCUGGUUUACAACCUCCCUCGUGACUCCCACGUCACUCCCCUCCUCAUCUCCCUCCACUGGCUACCAGUGCAAGCUCGCAUCCGGUUUAAGACACUGGUGCUUGCUUUCCAAGCAGUCAAGGGGUCAGCUCCUGGUUAUCUGCAGAAGAUGAUCAGACCCUACAAGCCAGCCAGAUCGCUCCGAUCGGCUACUACAGGGCGGCUGAUUCCUCCCCCUACACGAGCAGCAACAAGGUCUCGACUCUUUGCA